rnacentral:rRNA from 1 species
CAGUAGCCGCGGUAAGACAGAGGAUGCAAGCGUUAUCCGGAAUGAUUGGGCGUAAAGGGCUCGCAGGCGGUUUCUUAAGUCUGAUGUGAAAGCCCCCGGCUCAACCGGGGAGGGUCAUUGGAAACUGGGAAACUUGAGUGCAGAAGAGGAGAGUGGAAUUCCACGUGUAGCGGUGAAAUGCGUAGAGAUGUGGAGGAACACCAGUGGCGAAGGCGACUCUCUGGUCUGUAACUGACGCUGAGGAGCGAAAGCGUGGGGAGCGAACAGGAUUAGAUACCCCGGUAGUCCCUGUCUCUUAUAC